CCUACGGGAGGCAGCAGUGGGGAAUCUUGCGCAAUGGGCGAAAGCCUGACGCAGCCAUGCCGCGUGAAUGAUGAAGGUCUUAGGAUUGUAAAAUUCUUUCACCGGGGACGAUAAUGACGGUACCCGGAGAAGAAGCCCCGGCUAACUUCGUGCCAGCAGCCGCGGUAAUACGAAGGGGGCUAGCGUUGCUCGGAAUUACUGGGCGUAAAGGGAGCGUAGGCGGAUAGUUUAGUCAGAGGUGAAAGCCCAGGGCUCAACCUUGGAAUUGCCUUUGAUACUGGCUAUCUUGAGUAUGGGAGAGGUAUGCGGAACUCCGAGUGUAGAGGUGAAAUUCGUAGAUAUUCGGAAGAACACCAGUGGCGAAGGCGGCAUACUGGCCCAUUACUGACGCUGAGGCUCGAAAGCGUGGGGAGCAAACAGGAUUAGAUACCCUGGUAGUCCACGCUGUAAACGAUGAGUGCUAGUUGUCGGCAUGCAUGCAUGUCGGUGACGCGAGCUACGACAUUAAGACGACGUCCGCCGUCGGGUAGGUACGGUCGCGAAGUAGUAAACGUUACGAAAGUAAGUUAGACGGCGNGAGACGNGCCGACGGACGACGACGAGGGAGGAGG
rnacentral:rRNA from 1 species